UCUCAGUGACAUUUUCAUUUUUUUUCCAAGACGCAAGGACACUGGUCUCGCAUCGAGGGUUUUUGCGGUAAAGGAAUCGAUCGAUAUUGACAUUGUUCGUUUGAAGAAGAAGAAGAGUCUUCGAUUUCAACUCGUUUUCUGGAAUGAAUGAAAAGCAGACAUUUGUAUUAGCAAAGUUAUAAAGCCUUCCCGGUGCACACUUGAGAGGGUCAACCAGCUCAUGAAUCCUGGUGGAAAAAUCUGGAAUGUGGGCAGAAUUAGAAGGGUAUUCUCGGGUUUCGAUGCAUCAAAAAUACUGCAGAUUCCGCUUACGGCGAGGCCAACUAAUUUGGAGAGAUAACCGGAAUGGCCUGGAUAGUGUGAAAUCAGGAUAUAGAAUUCUCAGAAAUAUGCACUCAAACCAACAAUCUCCAGGUCCUUUGAAUUCAAAUGCCUCGAAGUUGUGGAAAAAAUAUGGAGUAUAAAUGUGCUUCCAAGAUGUAAGGAGAUGGUCUGGAGAGCUUGCAACGAGGUGCUUCCCCGCCGUGAACGUAAACCUUAAGAGAAGAGGAACCAAUACUGAGACAAUCGGCCCCUGCUGCGGGGAGGAGGAUGAAACCACGGUAUAUGCUCUUCUACAAUGUCGGGGAAUCCGAAGAACCUGGUUUGCAUCAAAUGCUCUUCUACACAUUGGCCUCCAUCUUUAAUCUUAUAUGGGCCAUAUGGUGCAAAAGAAAUGCAUGGAACUUUGAAGGACAACAAUGGUGCAUAGAGAAGACCCUGGCGAAAGCAAAAAGCAUGGGAGCAAGAGGCGAACUGAAUUCUGAGUCUUUGACCCGAAGCUUCCUCCUCCCAUUUGGACUCCUCCACCGGAUGGAUGCUUUAAGCUCAAUAUUGAUGCUGCAAUUAAAUGCAAUGAAGGAACAGGCUUGGGCGCAAUAAUCAGAAACAGUAGAGGCUUAACAAUGGCAGCGGAAACUUGGAAGAUUGAAGAAAUCGAAGAUCCUACUCUAGCUGAAGCUGCUGGAAUCAGAUGGGCACUUAAAUGGGCAAAAGAAAUCUGCUUUGAUCAAAUUCUUGUGGAAACAGAUUGCCUUUUGUUCUGUCAGCAAUGGGAAAACAGAAUUCCUGGAAUUUCUUACCUUGAUGAUGUAGUUAGAAAGUGUAGAAUCCUCUCUUCAUGUUUUAGUGUUUGUAGUCUCCCAUGUGAUCCUGCAACAUAGCUGCU